rnacentral:rRNA from 1 species
GACGAACGCUGGCGGCGUGCUUAACACAUGCAAGUCGAACGGUGACCCAGGGCUUGCCCUGGUGAUCAGUGGCGAACGGGUGAGUAACACGUGGGCAACCUGCCCCCUGACUUCGGGAUAACUCCUCGAAAGAGGAGCUAAUACCGGAUACGACCACUUCGGACAUCCGAUGGUGGUGGAAAGUUCCUCGGUCAGGGAUGGGCCCGCGGCCUAUCAGCUAGUUGGUGGGGUAAUGGCCUACCAAGGCGACGACGGGUAGCCGGCCUGAGAGGGCGACCGGCCACACUGGGACUGAGACACGGCCCAGACUCCUACGGGAGGCAGCAGUGGGGAAUAUUGCGCAAUGGGCGAAAGCCUGACGCAGCGACGCCGCGUGAGGGAUGAAGGCCUUCGGGUUGUAAACCUCUUUCAGCAGGGACGAAGCGAAAGUGACGGUACCUGCAGAAGAAGCACCGGCUAACUACGUGCCAGCAGCCGCGGUAA